rnacentral:misc_RNA from 1 species
AUGUAUGAUGUCAGGAGGCUUACCACGACGUCUUAUAGCAGGACCUAAAUUGAACUGCACUGCUUUUUCGUACCAUGACAUCAAUUAUAAGCAGGCCUGCGGCAGGUCUGCUCAGUAAACCGUUCACCAUUUUUUUUGUAUAGAGUUUUCCUACCACAACGGCCACUUUUGACAGCAGGAAUUGUUUCUUGCUCGUCGCAAAUGUCAAAUAAAGCGAUUCUUAAAAAGUUACUUUCAGGUAGCUUCUUUGGACAUUUUGGCGUUGUUUUGUAAGAUAUUCACCAAAUGUUCCGUGUUUGUUUCCUAAGGAUUUGUAGGAUAAAGGGCAUUAAAAUACAUGCAAAGCUAUUGUUUAAUAAGAAUUUGAUUAAAUACCUAUGAAUUUUUCAAAAAAGUUAAAUCUACAGAAGAGUAAGUUGUGUAAACAUUAAUAACACCCCUAACAUUAUUGCAAAGAUGUGUGACGAGUAUGAACUGUUUGAGUUUUUGGAAAGUGAUUUCAACGAAUCCAGAAUGGCAAAUAAAAAGAAACGUUUAAGGAACAGAGAAAAUAAUGAUCCUUUUGACUUAGAUGAAAAUGCUUUCAUCAAGGAGUACAGGUUAACCGCAGACUUGGUGCACAAACUUUGUGAAGAGCUGGAGCCAAUAAUGGCAAAAAGCUCUAAAAGAGCAACUGAUUUAAGCAUAGAAGCAAAGAUUUUUCAAUAAAUUUGGUAUCCCUGGUGUGAUUGGAUGUAUUGAUUGUACCCAUGUUCGCAUAGUAAGGCCUAAUGAGCAUGAAGAUAGAUAUUUCUGUAGAAAGAAAUUCCAUUCUCUAAAUGUUCAGUUGAUUUGUGAUGCGGAUCAACAAAUUCUAAGUGUUGAUGCGAGUCAUCCAGGGUCAUUUCAUGACUCAUUUAUAUGGAGCCACCAUCCUGUACGUUACCAUUUGGAAAAUUUAGGGUCUGAAGCAACAUGGCUUUUAGGUGACUCUGGGUACUCACAACGAAGAACGAUGAUGACACCUAUUUUGGAUGCAGAACCGUCUGGUUAUAUGUGCUUCCGGUGUGUCUACACCGGAAGCAUAUUAUACACAAAAGUAUGUAAAGGCUAGGAAUGUGAUAGAAAGAACUAUAGGUCUUCUCAAAGCACGUUUCCGGUGUCUCUUGUGCCACAGGGUGUUGCAUUAUCAACCACAGGUUGCUGGCUUCAUUACAAAUGCUUGUGUAAUAUUGCACAAUAUUUGUAAUGAAAACAACUUGCCUGAAGUAAGGUUGACAGAAGAAGAGCAAGCAAGGGAAGUUGCACAACAACCACCAGUGGAAGCUCUUCAUGAACCAGCUGGGCAACACAACAUUGAGCUUCAACGUGGUAUAUCUACACGGCGGGAUCUUGUGGCACGUCUCUGGGCUCUUCGCCGUACCUGAAAAUCAAAAAAUAGAAUUUUAUUGCAGAUUUUUAUUCAAUAAUAUUUCGUUUUUAAGAGUAAGUUAUAAGUAGCUAUGCAGGUAGUUUAUGAACAAUAAUCUUUUUCAUUUAAUAUUCAUCAAAGUAAUAUAGUUUUUUUAUUGUUAUUAAAUUAAAUUGAAUACCAAUA